GAGCACAUUGCACCUUGCACCUUGGCAUGACCCUGACAAGCCAGCUGCUCACCCCAAACCCUUCAGUAUUCUAGGUUAUAUUAAAGAUCUUUUGAGGGUAAGAGAACUGAGACUCAUUAAUAAGGAAAUUCAGCCCCACAGUUCUGGUGUCAGACUCAGCAAAACAGCCCUGGGCUGAGUGAGAAGAUUUAGACCCUCUGGGGGAAAGGAGAAAGUGCUGUGAGGCAGGGUGAGGAGAGCUGCCCUGCUGCCCUUGUUAUUCUAGCUUUGUGGAUAACCAGAAGGUUACAGCUUUCAGCCCUUAUGCCAGGCAGAGCUAUUUUUAAUUAAAAAUAAAACCAGGAAGUUUUUAAU